AUGACAGAGCCAUUCACAGAACUCAUUAUUUUGACCACACAGGGAGUGCAGCCAGCAAAGUGGGGGUGUAUUCACACCUCUGGUUGCGGGAGAGAAGACACAAGGACUUCUAAUUUCUUUGAUGGCACAGGAACAGUGGCAUCACAGAGCCUCGUGAUAGAUGAGCCGGUACUGGACCUGAGGCCGGUCUGGCGGAGGGAGGGAUGUUGGCAGCGCAGGAGCCUCCGGGAACGGUGCGUCCGACAGCACUUUCAGGUGAGGAGUCACCUUGUGGCCGAAGGAGCAGUCGCUCCUUCUGCCACUUCAGCAGCUCCUUCUGCUCUCCCUGCUGGCAGUACUGGAACAGCAGCCACACCAGCCAGCCGACAUCAUUCUCCACAAGCCACCUGAAGGUCUGACCGGCGUACUACCCGAACGUGAUGACCAGCUGACCUUUCCACAGGCCACCUGAAGGUCUGACCGGCGUACUACCCGAACGUGAUGACCAGCUGACCUUUCCACAGCUCAGCCCCCGACCUCUUGGCAGCCGCCUCUGCUGUCUUGAGAUCCAGCCAUUUAGGGUCAACAACAGUGCUGCUGCGGGCCUCUGCCACAGACCUUGCUGCCUCUGUACAGUACAGCCUGGCCUCUCCUUGCCGGUACAAAAUGAUGUUGGGGUACUGGUGUAGCUGUUGAUGGCUGACCAGCGAUGGUUUAGUGGCCAAGCUCUUCCCGCAGACAUCACAGGUAAAGGUCUCCCUGGCGAUGGCAUGGAUCUGGAAUAACACUACUGUUUACCAGGUAUGCAGCGCAUCCCAUGCAACAAGAGAUUAACACGGUCGCCAAAUUGCUUUAUGUUACACUUAGUCUCGCAUCAGCUGUUGUCUAAACAGUCACAUUUACCCAAAUCAACACAUAUCCACAUCAAAUUGUCCAAGAAAACGUUGAUUGUCGCCGAAAAGCAACAAGUUUGCAGGUAUGCGACGUAUGCCCUUACUCAUUGUAAACAGUGUCGUUAGCCGCGCCUAGCUAUCGUUACAAAACACACAUUAAUCAGCUUAUUAUUUCAACGACCCCUGGGUACAUAUAGUCAUGCCAUACACCGUUGGAAAGCUUAGAUUACCACGAUUAAAAGGAGACCACCGACGAGUAAUAUGGUUGCUCGCAGACAAAACGGCGAUAGGUUGACUGAAGUCUACCCAGCAGCUAAAAACGCACCCUCUACGUCUUCCCUUUAUACACAACGACCGUGUUAUGACACGGUCGAAAUCUUUUCUCUUUCUACAAAAUCGAAACAGCUUAAUACAAACCUUAAAAAAAGGUCUAAUUAUUAACUAGCAAACGGUGAAGGGGAUACAAUUUACCUGAGUGAAACCACGUGCUGUAAGCUAUUUUCUUUUUCAACUCGAGCUCAUUGGCUGCAAUAGAGUUCCGGGUGUUGACGUUGUUGGGGCGGGGAAAUCGGGGGCAACACCAUUUUGGCAGUAUUCCAAAAUAUGGUUUAUUUAUUUUUUAACAUUUUUUUGGUGAAGCACUGCUUCACCUGUGGUCUUAUAGAAGCCUCCACUGCUCCAAACUCUAUUUGUGAAACAUGCAGACGGCCUAGUGACACUGCCAGCAGGCAGCAGCAAAGAGAUGUAGCGACCUCGGUUUAUUUCUUCAGCUUUCACAUACACACAAACACGCACACAGGGUGCUUGGUCAUUCUUUUGUUUUUUUUUCGUUGUCUGUUAAACCGCCACGUGGGGCGACGUGUCUGGGAA
rnacentral:lncRNA from 1 species